CUUUAUUAAUGAAAAGCCAACAUCUACAAUUAAAAAAAACACUGAAUGGUUUAUCUAGAAAAAGGAAAUACCACAACGGAAAAAUUGCCAAACAUCAAGGACUGAAUUGGGAUGGAAAAGAGCAACUUGGAAUCUUGAUUAAAUUUGUUUAGCCACGUCCUAACAUCGGCAUCAAAAGUGUUAAUAGAUAUUUCUGAAAUAAGA